AACGAACGCUGGCGGCAUGCCUAACACAUGCAAGUCGAACGAGACCUUCGGGUCUAGUGGCGCACGGGUGCGUAACGCGUGGGAACCUGCCCUUAGGUUCGGAAUAACUCCCCGAAAGGGGUGCUAAUACCGGAUAAUGUCUUCGGACCAAAGAUUUAUCGCCUUUGGAUGGGCCCGCGUUGGAUUAGCUAGUUGGUAGGGUAAAAGCCUACCAAGGCGACGAUCCAUAGCUGGUCUGAGAGGAUGAUCAACCACACUGGGACUGAGACACGGCCCAGACUCCUACGGGAGGCAGCAGUGGGGAAUAUUGGACAAUGGGCGAAAGCCUGAUCCAGCAAUGCCGCGUGAGUGAUGAAGGCCUUAGGGUUGUAAAGCUCUUUUACCCGGGAUGAUAAUGACAGUACCGGGAGAAUAAGCGCCGGCUAACUCCGUG
rnacentral:rRNA from 1 species